CUUCAACAUAUAAAUUUCGGAGGCGGCGGGGGGGCGGUGGAGAUGCAAUUCAGUCCAUAACAGUAAGUUACAUGGAUAUAUUUUACAAACCUUCAUUGAUUUCCUACCGUGUGCUGGGUAACCUGCAAGGUGCUGGUGUGCUAUAGACCUGAAUUUAGCAUUUGAGGGACCUGGCUUUGAAUCCUAACUCUGAAAAUCCUUCAUAAUAAUACAUACACACACAUACACACACACAUGCUCAUCACACUUAAACAUAUAUGCACCUACACACACAUACAGCUAUACAUUCAUUUACACAUAUACAUAUAUGCUGCUUGGCUUAGCCAAAUGCUUGACUUUAAGCUUCUGUUUCUUCAUCUGUAAGAUCAGGAAGAUACCACCUACCUCUCAAGAAGUAAGUGAAAUUACAUGUAAGCCAGGUCUCUGCAGCUAUAAUGGGG
rnacentral:lncRNA from 1 species